CACCUCUGUCAGUAGGUGCCUGGAUGCUGCUGUCAGUCAGAAGGAUCUGCACUGAAUUCACUGGACCUACAUCCAUAAAAAAUGCAAGCAAGAAAACCUUACAGGUCAAGUCAUGUCCUACAGGUCACAAAGUGGACUUGCUGUAACAGCUGAAACUCAGAACUUUUGAUGCCAAAUAAACACCACAAUAACAAGAAGGUUCCUUUCUAGGAGGACUGAACGAGCAGUGUUGAACAAUAUUGUACUCACAGGUCAAAACACACUGGCAUGUGCAUUCUUGCAAGGUAUUAAAUUAAUCAAUUAAAU